rnacentral:sRNA from 1 species
UUUAUGGUUAUACCCUUUAUUUACUUGUGUGUAUAGCUCGUAGAUGGGAGGAUCGCCUCACUAAGUAUUUAUGAUAAUACUCACGCAUCUCAUUUGUAUUGUUGAUGCAGGUAAAGGCAAAGUGUGAUUGUGGAUUGUGGCAAGGAAGAGAGGAUGAUCUAGACACUCGUUGUGAUGUGAUCGUUGUCGUGUUUUAUGUUACCUGAAUCGAACAAAAUCAAUACCA